GGGCGAGUGGCGGAAUUGGCAUACGCGCAUGGCUUAGGACCAUGUUCCCGCAAGGGAUUGGAGGUUCAAGUCCUCUCUCGCCCA
rnacentral:tRNA from 1 species